ACGGGUGAGUAACGCGUGGGAACAUACCUCUUGGUUCGGAACAACACAGGGAAACUUGUGCUAAUACCGGAUAAGCCCUUACGGGGAAAGAUUUAUCGCCGAGAGAUUGGCCCGCGUCUGAUUAGCUAGUUGGUGGGGUAAAGGCCUACCAAGGCGACGAUCAGUAGCUGGUCUGAGAGGAUGAUCAGCCACAUUGGGACUGAGACACGGCCCAAACUCCUACGGGAGGCAGCAGUGGGGAAUACUGGACAAUGGGCGCAAGCCUGAUCCAGCCAUGCCGCGUGAGUGAUGAAGGCCCUAGGGUUGUAAAGCUCUUUUGUACGGGAAGAUAAUGACGGUACCGUAAGAAUAAGCCCCGGCUAACUUCGUGCCAGCAGCCGCGGUAAUACGAAGGGGGCUAGCGUUGCUCGGAAUCACUGGGCGUAAAGGGUGCGUAGGCGGGUUUUUAAGUCAGAGGUGAAAUCCUGGAGCUCAACUCCAGAACUGCCUUUGAUACUGAAAGUCUUGAGUAUGGGAGAGGUGAGUGGAACUGCGAGUGUAGAGGUGAAAUUCGUAGA
rnacentral:rRNA from 1 species